rnacentral:lncRNA from 1 species
GACAGGCUUAGCUAUGACUAAAAGUGUUGCUGGGUGUAAGACUAUGGAGGAUACAUCUGUAUUCAACUUAGGGCAAGAGAGCAUCAAGCUUCAGGAAGGAGAGAUUAUGAUUGUUUUACUUGCUUUCAGAUAAUGGAUUCUCUCACUUCUUUUCUUUUCUUUUCUUUUCCUUUUCUUUCUCUCUCUCUCUCUCUCUCUCUCUCUCUCUCUCUCUCUCUGUCACAUCUAUAUAGAUAUCCAUUCAUAUAUCCAUACAGGAAAGAAGGAAGGAAGGAAGGAAGGAAGGAAGGAAGGAAGGAAGGAAGGAAGGAAGGAAAGAAGGAAGGAAGGAAGGAAGGAAGAUACCCCAAGUAUAAAUGGAUUCAAGCUACUUGGAAUUUGGAUGACUAUGAUUUAAGAGAAUGUCAGUUUUAGGGAGAAAAGGGAAAAGAAAGUAGAAGAAGGAACAGAAAAACCAUCUAUGAAAGAAGUCCAAGUCCCCCUCAAGGUUAUCAUUUUUAGUUUAACCAAAGAAACAAAAGUGAAAACCUAAUACUCAAAAUUUGGGUGGCUGAGGCUGGUGGAUCACUUGAGCCCAGGAGUUUGAGACCAGCCAGGGCAACAUGGCAAAACCCAGUCUCUACCAAAAUAAAAUACAAAAAUUAGCCAGGCAUAGGGGUGCGUGCCUGUAGUCCCAGCUACUUGGGAGGCUGAGGUGAGUGGAUCACAUGAGCCUGGGUCAAGCCUGCAGUGAGCCGAGAUAACGCCACUGCACUCCAGCCUGGGUGACAGAGGGAGGUCCUAUCUCAAAAAACAAACAAACAAACAAAACUUAACAAAAAAUAAAAAAUAAAAAAAUUACAUAUUUUGAAUCAUAGCCCAAACCAAGAAUAAAAUAUUAAAUAAUAGACCUUUGGUCUUUGUGUUCCCUCACCCUCAUCAACUUAAUAAGAGGUUGACAUUUUUGUAAAAAGGUAGUCAAGAUCUACCAGUUAAACUGAACAAUAAACAGGAACUCUAUUGCACCACCAUGUUUCAGCUUGGCUUUACAGGAUGAGUGAGU